GGUCUGUGGCUCAGUGGCAGAGCACUUAGCUAGCAUGUGAGAGGUACUGGGUUCAAUCCUCAGCACCA
rnacentral:tRNA from 1 species